GAUGAACGCUGGCGGCGUGCCUAAUACAUGCAAGUCGAGCGAAUGGAUUAAGAGCUUGCUCUUAUGAAGUUAGCGGCGGACGGGUGAGUAACACGUGGGUAACCUGCCCAUAAGACUGGGAUAACUCCGGGAAACCGGGGCUAAUACCGGAUAACAUUUUGAACCGCAUGGUUCGAAAUUGAAGGCGGCUUCGGCUGUCACUUAUGGAUGGACCCGCGUCGCAUUAGCUAGUUGGUGAGGUAACGGCUCACCAAGGCAACGAUGCGUAGCCGACCUGAGAGGGUGAUCGGCCACGCUGGGACUGAGACACGGCCCAGACUCCUACGGGAGGCAGAAGUAGGGAAUCUUCCGCAAUGGACGAAAGUCUGACGGAGUAACGCCGCGUGAGUGAUGAAGGCUUUCGGGUCGUAAAACUCUGUUGUUAGGGAAGAACAAGUGCUAGUUGAAUAAGCUGACACCUUGACGGUACCUAACCAGAAAGCCACGGCUAACUACGUGCCAGCCGCCGCGGUAA
rnacentral:rRNA from 1 species